CCUAGAGCUGCUGUUGCUGCCGUCUUCUGCUAGGGUUCCAACGUUCUUCAGAUUCACGUUUAGCUUGGCCAUUGUUCUGCUCACAUAAUUUGCGAGUCGAGUUCUAGAGCUGUUGUGCUCCUUGUUUCAGUGUCGAAGUCCCGUACAAACCCAUUUCCAGAUGCGAGGAACACCCGUAGGCAACAGGGGGUGGAGAUUCUGCUGCAUAGUCCGCGUGGACUAGUUUAUAUUUCCGUAUGAGUUUAUCUAGGGCUGCGACCCACGUAAUUGUUCGUCCUUAGAUUUAUGUACUUUGGUUAUCUUUUCAUCUAAUUUUCUCUUGGACAUCGUGGUGUGUCAUGGAUUGUAUGGAAUUGAGUUUAAAACUCUCAGAC